CGGGCCUCAUCUCGGACCUGCACACUGCCCCUCAUUAUGUUCAUGAUCGGGUGAGGAUUCUUGUCUCAUGUCUUUCCAAGUCCUUGCAAGGCAGUGUCUCUCUGCUUACAGCAUUCUAUUCCAGCAGGAAAUGGAUAAAGAGUGGCCAGAAGGUGAAAAAGAAGAGAUGGCCCCCUGAAAGGGACAUCCACAUUUAUUUGAGCACCUACCAGGAUACCUGCUUUGGGAGCCUUCUGCUGCUGCGUGAGAUCCCUGGCUACCCUGGAGAGACAUCAGACAACAAGUGAGAUGCCCAAGAGCCCUAGCUGUCUUUGUCUUUGCAGCCCAAGCUCCAGACAUGUACUGAAGAAGCUUUAAGGAUAAAUUCAGUCCCAACUACUCCCUGGCUACAACUAUGAGACAGACCCUCCCAAGUCAGAACUGCCUAGCCAAGCUCAGGCAACUCCAAGAUUUAAG
rnacentral:lncRNA from 10 species